CAAAUGUUGCUCCAUAUGGAAUUAUGGAUGUGGUUGGCUUGCUGUUGGUUUUCGACACCAGCUUCACGUUCUGGGAGUUGUAGACAGCCAGCACAAAGCAAGAUCUUAGUGCUCCUAUGGCUGAUGAUAAUUGUCUGGGAUUUUGAACCCAGCCACAAUGAGAUAUCUUCUGAGAGGCUCAGGGGUUCUUCAUAACUGUUCACAGUAAUGCAGAUUCAAUUAAUGUAAUUCAAUAACACCCAAGGACUUCAUGAAUCAAGCAGCCGAUGACUAUAUUUAAGGUACCAAACAGAGUGCAAUUGUGCAAGUGGCGGGUGGUCAGUUUAUAUCAUAGCAGCAUUCAUAACAGGAUCAACCAAUAUUAAAAAGAU